rnacentral:rRNA from 1 species
CCUACGGGCGGCAGCAGUGGGGAAUAGUGCACAAUGGGGGAAACCCUGAUGCAGCGACGCCGCGGGAGUGAAGAAGGAUUUCGGUAUGUAAAGCUCUAGCAGCAGGGAAGAAGCAAGACGGUACCUGACGAAGAAGCACCGGCUAACUACGUGCAAGCAGCCGCGGUAAGACGGAGGGGGCAAGCGUUAUCCGGAUUUACUGGGGGUAAAGGGAGCGUAGACGGGAUGGCAAGUCGGAAGUGAAAGCCCAGGGCUUAACCCUGGGACUGCUUUGGAAACUGGUAGACUAGAGUGCUGGAGAGUUCAGUGUCCUUCCUAGUGUCGCGGUUCAAUUCUUCGAUAUUAGGCGGCCCACCAGUGGCGAAGGCGGCUUACUGGACAGUACCUGACGUUGAGGCUCG